ACAGAUGCCUGGCCGUGGUGGGGCUGCGGUGGGGACCCACUUGGUCUUGCUGAGUGAUCUGUGACGGCUCGCGGGGUGGCUCAGUCUUUCCUGCAGCUGCGCAACUGGACGGCCUCCCUGCUCUGCUCCGCAGCCGACCUCCCCGCCCGUGGCUUCAGCAACCAGAUCCCGCUGGUGGCGCGGGGGAACUGCACCUUCUAUGAGAAAGUGAGGCUGGCCCAGGGCAGCGGAGCACGCGGGCUGCUCAUCGUCAGCAGGGAGAGGCUGGUCCCCCCGGGGGGUAAUAAGACGCAGUAUGAUGAGAUUGGCAUUCCCGUGGCCCUGCUCAGCUACAAAGACAUGCUGGACAUCUUCAGGCGUUUCGGCCGCAUGGUGAGGGCGGCGCUGUAUGCGCCUAAGGAGCCGGUGCUGGACUACAACAUGGUCAUCAUCUUCAUCAUGGCUGUGGGCACCGUCGCCAUCGGCGGCUACUGGGCCGGGAGUCGGGACGUGAAGAAAAGGUACAUGAAGCACAAGCGCGACGAUGGGCCCGAGAAGCAGGAGGACGAGGC
rnacentral:sRNA from 1 species